rnacentral:rRNA from 1 species
AGUCACUGACAUUAGAUACCCUGUAGUCCAGGGUGUAAACGCUGCAGACUUGGUGUUGGGGCCUUUGGGGCAUUCAGUGCCGGAGAGAAGUUGUUAAGUCUGCUACUUGGGGAGUACGUCCGCAAGGAUGAAACUUAAAGGAAUUGGCGGGGGAGCACCGCAACGGGAGGAGCGUGCGGUUUAAUUGGAUUCAACACCGUAAACUCACCAGGGAAGACUGUUACAUGAAGGCCGAGAUGAAGACUCUGCUAGAUUUUCAG